UACGAAGGGGGCGAGCGUUGUUCGGAUUUACUGGGCGUAAAGGGCGCGCAGGCGGUCUUGAAAGUCAGGCGUGAAAGCCCCGGGCUUAACCUGGGGAAUUGCGCUUGAUACUCUGAGACUGGAGUACGGGAGAGGAGAGUGGAAUUCCCAGUGUAGAGGUGAAAUUCGUAGAUAUUGGGAAGAACACCAGUGGCGAAGGCGGCUCUCUGGACCGUAACUGACGCUGAGGCGCGAAAGCGUGGGGAGCGAACAGG
rnacentral:rRNA from 1 species